GACGACCAAGGAGUUUAACUUGUAUACGGUCAUUGGGCUUUUACGAAACCCAAAGGCGUAAUGAAAGUGAAUGAGAACUUCUGGUUCUUUGAAGUGUGAUUCCGCAUUGCACAGCAUCUAGUGCUUGUGGACGCAACACUGGCCCGUCCCGUAAUGUAGUCGUAUAAAGUGCUUUGUCACUUGUGCGCAACAUUGGGGCGGAGCAAGAGUAUACAAGUUGAGACCCGAAAGAUGGUGAACUAUGCUUGCGUAGGUCGAAGCCAGAGGAAACUCUGGUGGAGGACCGUAGCGGUUUUGACGUGCAAAUCGAUCGUCAAACGUGAGUAUAGGGGCGAAAGACUAAUCGAACCAUCUAGUAGCUGGUUCCCUCCGAAGUUUCCCUCAGGAUAGCUGACAUUCAUUUCGCUAAACAGUUUUAUCCGGUAAAGCGAAUGAUUAGAGGUAUUGGGGAAAAAUUUUCCUCAACCUAUUCUCAAACUAUAAAUGGGUGAGAUGCUUGGCUCGCUUAAUUGGAGUCGUGCAUUGAAUGUGAAUGUCAAGUGGGCCAUUUUUGGUAAGCAGAACUGGCGCUGUGGGAUGAACCAAACGUUCAGUUAAGGUGCCUAACAUGGACGCUCAUGAGAAACCACAAAAGGUGUUGAUGCAUAUAGACAGCAGGACGGUGGCCAUAAAAGUUGGAAACCGCUAAGGAGUGUGUAACAACUCACCUGCCGAAUGCAUCAGCCCUGAAAAUGGAUGGCGCUUGAGCGUUAGACAUAUACUGAACUGUCACUGCAAGMUGGUUUAAGCCAGGCUUGGAUGAACGGUGACAAGUAGGAGGGUCUCCGUGGUGAGCGUUGAAGCUUAGCAUGUGAAUGCUGGUGGAGCCGCCACGGGUGCAGAUMUUGGUGGUAGUAGYAAUUAGUCAAGUGAG
rnacentral:rRNA from 1 species